CACCGCCCGACACUGCCGAUUGAAUUAUUUAGUGAGGUCUCCGCGCGUGAUCAGUGUAACGGAUUUUAUGUGUUGCAGAUGUUCCGCAGAAGACAACCGAACUUGAUUGUUUGGAGGAAAUAAAAGUCGUAACAAGGUCAAAGG
rnacentral:rRNA from 1 species